rnacentral:rRNA from 1 species
UACGUAGGGUGCGAGCGUUGUCCGGAAUUAUUGGGCGUAAAGGGCUCGUAGGCGGUUUGUCGCGUCGGGAGUGAAAACCCAGGGCUUAACCCAGGGCUGGCUUCCGAUACGGGCAGACUAGAGGUAUGCAGGGGAGAACGGAAUUCCUGGUGUAGCGGUGAAAUGCGCAGAUAUCAGGAGGAACACCGGUGGCGAAGGCGGUUCUCUGGGCAUUACCUGACGCUGAGGAGCGAAAGUGUGGGGAGCGAACAGG